GGUUAGCUGUAGAUCGGAAAAGAUGUCGAAGAACGGAUCAAAUGUGUUCAGAUUUCUGUUGAUGCAUGUUUUACUAAAGUUUAUUUCGUCAGAUGAAUGCAAAAUCCAACAAGAUCCUUGUGUUUGCCAAACAGCGAAAAGAAAAGUCAAUUUUAGAGACAUUGGUUUAAAAAUUGGGGAACCUAGGUUUAGUGAUAUUCCAGAUGUUCAUUUAAAUCACUAUUUCUACAAUCCAUGUUUAAUUUUCACAAAAGGCACAUGUAAAGACGCUACGGUAUGUCAGAGUGCUGGUUCUAACUUUUACAAACUGGCUACAGUACCUCCUAUCUAUUCUGGUGAUCCUGAUCUAGAUACACUAAAAAUAACAUAUGGUGCAGUGCUUGAUCAAGGAACAUCAAGACAAGCAGUUGUGAAUGUGAGGUGUAAAAAGUGCAGUGAUGCAAAACUCACGGCUCAAGCAGAAAAACAUGUUCCUGGUCUUAUUGUAUAUCCUUUUACACUUGAAACAGACAUUGUCUGUGAGGAAAGAUGUCCAUCUAGUUCGUCAGGUCUAAGCACUGGUUCCAUAUUAGUAAUAUUGUUUUUUGUAUUCUUGGCUAUUUAUUGGAUUGGAGGAAUUUUAUUUUUGAAAUAUGUACGAAAGGCUCAAGGUGUUGAAUUAGUACCAAAUUAUCCAUUCUGGAAAGAUCUUCCAUUAUUAGUAAGGGAUGGCGUAGUUUUUGUUAUAAGUGGAUGUAAACCACAGUCAACGUAUGAAAAAAUUUAGAUAUUUAAUUUAUGUUUGAAAAUACACGACAUGUCAUCAAUAGUUAUCUUUCCUGAUCGAAAAAAUCUGAUUGAGACCCUGAAUUACAUUAUUAAAAAGAAACAAGUUAAACCACCAUUAUUACACAGGAUUAAGAAUCACGCACAUCUUUGUACAAGUGUGAAUAAUGAGGUUGUGUAUGAAUACACUGGUACUCCACAGUGACCUUUAGCUAUAAAUAUGGUUCUAUGAGUAUUAAUAUGAAAUCACUGGUGUAGUACUGGUGAAAUACAAAAUUGAAAUGGGGUUACAUGUUCUACCUUUCUGUACUGACAGGGCUAAUGAAGACAGCCAAAUGUUAUGCAGUGUGCUAUGAGGGCAAAUUAAACAGGACUUGGAAACUGGGCUAAAGAUUCACUUGUAGUAAACUGUAUACCAUAUGUCUGUCUUCAUUUACCCCAGUUGGUGUAGAAAUGUAGGAGGUUAAACCUGAUUGUAUUGUCUACCUAGAGCACUCAGUCCCACACCACUGACAAGCUAAAGGAAGUUUGGCUGCUUUGGAUUGUACUGAAACCUGUCCUAUAGUGAACUGCCUUAUUGUGGUGUUCCAGUGUGAUUUCAAACUAGAAAUAAAGUCUUCUGACUGGAUGUAGUUUCUAAAUAUCCCACCGAAUCCAUAGUAAAAAACAAGUUAUGCACACUUUUCCUCAACUGAAACCUGUCCUAUAGUGAACUGCCUUAUUGUGGUGUUCCAGUGUGAUUUCAAACUAGAAAUAAAGUCUUCUGACUGGAUGUAGUUUCUUAAUAUCCCACCGAAUCCAUAGUAAAAAACAAAUUAUGCACACUUUUCCUCAACAUUAAAUAUUCCCCCCCCCCCCCCCCCCC